rnacentral:rRNA from 1 species
AAGGUGCCAGGGCGAAGCCUGCUCCGCAACGCCGCUGCGCAGGAAGAAGGCCUUCGGGUUGUAAACUGCUCUUGUACGGAACGAAACGGUCCUCUCUAAUAAAGAGGGCUAAUGACGGUACCGUAAGAAUAAGCACCGGCUAACUACGUGCCAGCAGCCGCGGUAAUACGUAGGGUGCGAGCGUUAAUCGGAAUUACUGGGCGUAAAGCGUGCGCAGGCGGUUAUGUAAGACAGUUGUGAAAUCCCCGGGCUCAACCUGGGAAUUGCAUCUGUGACUGCAUAGCUAGAGUACGGUAGAGGGGGAUGGAAUUCCGCGUGUAGCAGUGGAAGGCGGGGGAUAUGCGGAGGAACACCGAUGGCGAAGGCAAUCCCCUGGACCUGUACUGACGCUCAUGCACGAAAG